rnacentral:rRNA from 1 species
GAUGAACGCUGGCGGCGUGCCUAAUACAUGCAAGUCGAGCGAACAGACGAGGAGCUUGCUCCUCUGACGUUAGCGGCGGACGGGUGAGUAACACGUGGAUAACCUACCUAUAAGACUGGGAUAACUUCGGGAAACCGGAGCUAAUACCGGAUAAUAUAUUGAACCGCAUGGUUCAAUAGUGAAAGACGGUUUUGCUGUCACUUAUAGAUGGAUCCGCGCCGCAUUAGCUAGUUGGUAAGGUAACGGCUUACCAAGGCAACGAUGCGUAGCCGACCUGAGAGAGUGGUCGGCGACACUGGAACUGAGACACCGUCCAGACUCCUGCGGGAGGCAGCAGUAGGGAAUCUUCCGCAGUGGGCGAGAGCCUGACGGAGCAACGCCGCGUGAGUGAUGAAGGUCUUCGGAUCGUAAAACUCUGUUAUUAGGGAAGAACAAAUGUGUAAGUAACUAUGCACGUCUUGACGGUACCUAAUCAGAAAGCCACGGCUAACUACGUG